GAUUGGCUCAUUUGGUCAGAGCAUGGUGCUAAUAACACCGAAGUUGUGGGUUUGAUUCUCAUAUGAGCCA